UGGGGAAUAUUGCACAAUGGGCGCAAGCCUGAUGCAGGCAUGCCGCGUGUAUGAAGAAGGCCUUCGGGUUGUAAAGUACUUUCAGCGAGGAGGAAGGCGGUAAGGUUAAUAACCUUAUCGAUUGACGUUACUCGCAGAAGAAGCACCGGCUAACUCCGUGCCAGCAGCCGCGGUAAUACGGAGGGUGCAAGCGUUAAUCGGAAUUACUGGGCGUAAAGCGCACGCAGGCGGUCUGUCAAGUCGGAUGUGAAAUCCCCGGGCUCAACCUGGGAACUGCAUUCGAAACUGGCAGGCUAGAGUCUUGUAGAGGGGGGUAGAAUUCCAGGUGUAGCGGUGAAAUGCGUAGAGAUCUGGAGGAAUACCGGUGGCGAAGGCGGCCCCCUGGACAAAGACUGACGCUCAGGUGCGAAAGCGUGGGGAGCAAACA
rnacentral:rRNA from 1 species